AGCGAACGCUGGCGGCAGGCUUAACACAUGCAAGUCGAGCGCCCCGCAAGGGGAGCGGCAGACGGGUGAGUAACGCGUGGGAACGUACCCUUUGCUACGGAAUAGCUCCGGGAAACUGGAAUUAAUACCGUAUGUGCCCUACGGGGGACACAUUUAUCGGCAAAGGAUCGGCCCGCGUUGGAUUAGCUAGUUGGCGGGGUAAUGGCCUACCAAGGCGACGAUCCAUAGCUGGUCUGAGAGGAUGAUCAGCCACAUUGGGACUGAGACACGGCCCAAACUCCUACGGGAGGCAGCAGUGGGGAAUAUUGGACAAUGGGCGCAAGCCUGAUCCAGCCAUGCCGCGUGAGUGAUGAAGGCCUUAGGGUUGUAAAGCUCUUUCACCGGAGAAGAUAAUGACGGUAUCCGGAGAAGAAGCCCCGGCUAACUUCGUGCCAGCAGCCGCCGUAAGAC
rnacentral:rRNA from 1 species